rnacentral:rRNA from 1 species
CCUACGGGAGGCAGCAGUGAGGAAUAUUGGUCAAUGGGCGCGAGCCUGAACCAGCCAAGUAGCGUGAAGGAUGACUGCCCUACGGGUUGUAAACUUCUUUUAUAAGGGAAUAAAGUGAGGCACGUGUGCCUGUUUGAAUGUACUUUAUGAAUAAGGAUCGACUAACUCCGUGCCAGCAGCCGCGGUAAUACGGAGGAUCCGAGCGUUAUCCGGAUUUAUUGGGUUUAAAGGGAGCGUAGAUGGGUUGUUAAGUCAGUGGUGAAAGGUUGCGGCUCAACCGUAAAAUUGCAAUUGAUACUGGCAGUCUUGAGUACAGUUGAGGUAGGCGGAAUUCGUGGUGUAGCGGUGAAAUGCUUAGAUAUCACGAAGAACACCGAUUGCGAAGGCAGCUUACUAAGCUGCCACUGACAUUGAGGCUCGAAAGUGUGGGUAUCAAACAGGAUUAGAUACCCCGGUAGUC